UGGGGAAUUUUGGACAAUGGGCGAAAGCCUGAUCCAGCAAUGCCGCGUGUGUGAAGAAGGCCUUCGGGUUGUAAAGCACUUUUGUCCGGAAAGAAAUCCUUGGCUCUAAUACAGUCGGGGGAUGACGGUACCGGAAGAAUAAGCACCGGCUAACUACGUGCCAGCAGCCGCGGUAAUACGUAGGGUGCAAGCGUUAAUCGGAAUUACUGGGCGUAAAGCGUGCGCAGGCGGUUUGCUAAGACCGAUGUGAAAUCCCCGGGCUCAACCUGGGAACUGCAUUGGUGACUGGCAGGCUAGAGUAUGGCAGAGGGGGGUAGAAUUCCACGUGUAGCAGUGAAAUGCGUAGAGAUGUGGAGGAAUACCGAUGGCGAAGGCAGCCCCCUGGGCCAAUACUGACGCUCAUGCACGAAAGCGUGGGGAGCAAACAGGAUUAGAUACCCUGGUAGUCCACGCCCUAAACGAUGUCAACUAGUUGUUGGGGAUUCAUUUCCUAGUAACGUAGCUAACGCGUGAAGUUGACCGCCUGGGGAGUACGGUCGCAAGAUUAAAACUCAAAGGAAUUGACGGGGU
rnacentral:rRNA from 1 species